rnacentral:tRNA from 1 species
GGAGGGGUGGGAGAGCGGCCGAAUCCGCCAGUUUGGAGAACUGGUGUACUCUUCUGGGUACCGCGGGUUCAAAUCCCGCCCCCUCCGCCA